ACAAAACAAAAAAUCAAACCUUCAAAUUCAAUAAACAAAACUGUAAAAUCAGAAAACUGCAAAUGAACAUUAAUUUAAUGUGACAGAUGACAUUAAUUUACUGAAGUGAAAUUACCAGAGUUGGAGAGAGACAUAGCUCUAAUCUGCUCCUAUAUUUAAUAUGACUUUGGGGUUUUUUUAUUUAAAUAAUAUUGAUGCAGAAAAAUGGCCUGGUCUCAUUAGUAUAUUAUACAAAACAGUAUGAAAAGUUAAGGUUUUGAUUGUUCAGGAUAAUCACACAUUGUGCCAUCUAACAAUCCUCAAAUGACUAUUUAAUGAGGCGUUUCUUGAUAACUCUGUAAGGCUGUCUUGUUGACCACAUUCAUUCACAGGUGUUUGUUUUUUUAUUCAACAAAUCUUUAUUGAAAGACUGUAGGUUCCAGAAACUGCCAGCACUGAGGACACAGUAGUGAACAAAAGUGGAUAUGAUCUUGAGGGGAACAGGCAGAAUCAGGUGAUGAAAUGUUCUGGAAUUAGAUCGUGGGCAUGGUUACAUAACUCAGUGACUAUACUAAAAACCAUUGAAAUGAACAUUUUAAAGGGUGAAUUUUAUGGUAUGUGAAUUAUAUCUCAAUAAAGCUGUUACUUUUUAAAAAAAAAAAAAACCUGUAGAACUUAGUAUGGAUUUAGAUAAGUGAGGUGAGGAAGAAGGUGGUGUCAAGGAUAACGCUAAGCUUUCUGGCUUAUGUAAGUGGAUGGAGAGAGGAUGCACCCAACGAGGUCUGAGGGGGAGGGGCAGAGAAAGGUCUUGAGUUUGAAGUGUCUGAGGCUGCCAGGAGGGCAGGCGCUGACCACAAAGGGCACUGUAGUUAGAAGGCAGUCAUUCAGCUGGUCCAAAAGAUACUCUGUUAGAAAUGUUUUAAGAGUAUCACCUAAUAUAAAUGGAAACAUAAAAUUCUUGUAGAAAACUCAAGGACCUUUGAAAGUAAGUCUACUAGUCCCUACCAAGGUUCUGGGGAAACUGGUUGAAGAAACACAAUGCUGAAUGCACAACUCACUUCCCCACUGAUUGUGGGACACCCACUUCUAAUCCCCAGAGAGUAUAGUCAGCAGGGGGAUGGGAUGAAGGGAUGUUGCAUCUGUGAGAUCACCUUGAAUAAAAAUAGUAAAAAAAAAAAAAAAAAA